CAUGCAAGUCGAGCGGUAGAGAGAAGCUUGCUUCUCUUGAGAGCGGCGGACGGGUGAGUAAUGCCUAGGAAUCUGCCUGGUAGUGGGGGAUAACGUUCGGAAACGGACGCUAAUACCGCAUACGUCCUACGGGAGAAAGCAGGGGACCUUCGGGCCUUGCGCUAUCAGAUGAGCCUAGGUCGGAUUAGCUAGUUGGUGAGGUAAUGGCUCACCAAGGCGACGAUCCGUAACUGGUCUGAGAGGAUGAUCAGUCACACUGGAACUGAGACACGGUCCAGACUCCUACGGGAGGCAGCAGUGGGGAAUAUUGGACAAUGGGCGAAAGCCUGAUCCAGCCAUGCCGCGUGUGUGAAGAAGGUCUUCGGAUUGUAAAGCACUUUAAGUUGGGAGGAAGGGUUGUAGAUUAAUACUCUGCAAUUUUGACGUUACCGACAGAAUAAGCACCGGCUAACUCUGUGCCAGCAGCCGCGGUAAUACAGAGGGUGCAAGCGUUAAUCGGAAUUACUGGGCGUAAAGCGCGCGUAGGUGGUUUGUUAAGUUGGAUGUGAAAUCCCCGGGCUCAACCUGGGAACUGCAUUCAAAACUGACUGACUAGAGUAUGGUAGAGGGUGGUGGAAUUUCCUGUGUAGCGGUGAAAUGCGUAGAUAUAGGAAGGAACACCAGUGGCGAAGGCGACCACCUGGACUAAUACUGACACUGAGGUGCGAAAGCGUGGGGAGCAAACAGGAUUAGAUACCCUGGUAGUCCACGCCGUAAACGAUGUCAACUAGCCGUUGGAAGCCUUGAGCUUUUAGUGGCGCAGCUAACGCAUUAAGUUGACCGCCUGGGGAGUACGGGCCGCAAGGUUAAAACUCAAAUGAAUUGACGGGGGCCCGCACAAGCGGUGGGAGCAUGUGGUUUUAAUUCGAAGCAACGCGAAGAACCUUACCAGGCCUUGACAUCCAAUGAACUUUCUAGAGAUAGAUUGGUGCCUUCGGGAACAUUGAGACAGGUGCUGCAUGGCUGUCGUCAGCUCGUGUCGUGAGAUGUUGGGUUAAGUCCCGUAACGAGCGCAACCCUUGUCCUUAGUUACCAGCACGUUAUGGUGGGCACUCUAAGGAGACUGCCGGUGACAAACCGGAGGAAGGUGGGGAUGACGUCAAGUCAUCAUGGCCCUUACGGCCUGGGCUACACACGUGCUACAAUGGUCGGUACAGAGGGUUGCCAAGCCGCGAGGUGGAGCUAAUCCCAUAAAACCGAUCGUAGUCCGGAUCGCAGUCUGCAACUCGACUGCGUGAAGUCGGAAUCGCUAGUAAUCGCGAAUCAGAAUGUCGCGGUGAAUACGUUCCCGGGCCUUGUACACACCGCCCGUCACACCAUGGGAGUGGGUUGCACCAGAAGUAGCUAGUCUAACCUUCGGGAGGACGGUUACCACGGUGUGAUUCAUGACUGGGGUGAAG
rnacentral:rRNA from 1 species